GCUGGGAUAGCUCAGUCAGUAGAGCAUGAGACUACUAAUCUCAGGGUUGUGGGUUCAAGCCCCAUGUUGGGCA